rnacentral:rRNA from 1 species
UACGUAGGGGGCGAGCGUUGUCCGGAUUUAUUGGGCGUAAAGAGCUCGUAGGCGGCUUGGCAAGUCGGGUGUGAAACCUCCAGCUCAACCUGGAGACGCCACUCGAUACUGCCAUGGCUAGAGUCCGGUAGGGGACCACGGAAUUCCUGGUGUAGCGGUGAAAUGCGCAGAUAUCAGGAGGAACACCGAUGGCGAAGGCAGGUCUCUGGGCCGAUACUGACGCUGAGGAGCGAAAGCGUGGGGAGCGAACAGG